CGUUAGAUCACCGAAGUCAAGCAUCAUUGGGCGCGGUCAGUACUUGGGUGGGUGACCACCUGGGAACACUGCGUGCCGUU